CCUACGGGAGGCAGCAGUGGGGGAUAUUGCACAAUGGGGGGAACCCUGAUGCAGCGACGCCGCGUGGGUGAAGAAGCGCCUCGGCGCGUAAAGCCCUGUCAGCAGGGAAGAAAAUGACGGUACCUGAAGAAGAAGCCCCGGCUAACUACGUGCCAGCAGCCGCGGUAAUACGGAGGGGGCAAGCGUUAUCCGGAUUUACUGGGUGUAAAGGGGGCGGAGGCGGGGUUGCAAGACAGGAGUGAAAGCCCGGGGCUCAACCCCGGGACUGCACUUGAAACUGCGUGGCUGGAGUGUAGGAGGGGCAGGCGGAAUUCCUGGUGUAGCGGUGAAAUGCGUAGAUAUCAGGAGGAACACCGGUGGCGAAGGCGGCCUGCUGGACUGCAACUGACGUUGAGGCCCGAAAGCGUGGGGAGCAAACAGGAUUAGAUACCCUGGUAGUC
rnacentral:rRNA from 1 species